GAUGAACGCUGGCGGCGUGCCUAAUACAUGCAAGUCGAGCGAACAGACGAGGAGCUUGCUCCUCUGACGUUAGCGGCGGACGGGUGAGUAACACGUGGAUAACCUACCUAUAAGCCUGGGAUAACUUCGGGAAACCGGAGCUAAUACCGGAUAAUAUAUUGAACCGCAUGGUUCAAUAGUGAAAGAGGGUUUUGCUGUCACUUAUAGAUGGAUCCGCGCCGCAUUAGCUAGUUGGUAAGGUAACGGCUUACCAAGGCAACGAUGCGUAGCCGACCUGAGAGGGUGAUCGGCCACACUGCAACUGAGACACGGUCCAGACUCCUACGGGAGGCAGCAGUAGGGAAUCUUCCGCAAUGGGCGAAAGCCUGACGGAGCAACGCCGCGUGAGUGAUGAAGGUCUUCGGAUCGUAAAACUCUGUUAUUAGGGAAGAACAAAUGUGUAAGUAACUAUGCACGUCUUGACGGUACCUAAUCAGAAAGCCACGGCUAACUACGUG
rnacentral:rRNA from 1 species